UACAGGGGGUGCAAACGUUGCUCGGAAUCAUUGGGCGUAAAGCGCACGUAGGCGGUCUGUUAUGUCGAAUGUGAAAGCCCCCGGCUUAACUGGGGAGGGUCAUUCGAUACUGCUCGGCUCGAAGACAGGAGAGGGAAGCGGAAUUCCCGGUGUAGUGGUGAAAUGCGUAGAUAUCGGGAGGAACACCAGUGGCGAAGGCGGCUUUCUGGCCUGUUCUUGACGCUGAGGCGCGAAAGCUAGGGGAGCAAACGGG
rnacentral:rRNA from 1 species